UACAGAGGGUGCGAGCGUUGUUCGGAAUUAUUGGGCGUAAAGGGCGCGUAGGCGGUGCGGUAAGUCACCUGUGAAAUCUCCUGGCUCAACUGGGAGCUUGCAGGCGAAACUGCCGUGCUGGAGUGUGGGAGAGGUGAGUGGAAUUCCCGGUGUAGCGGUGAAAUGCGUAGAGAUCAGGAAGAACAUCGGUGGCGAAGGCGCUCUGCUGGACCAUAACUGACACUCAGGGACGAAAGCUAGGGGAGCGAAUGGG
rnacentral:rRNA from 1 species